rnacentral:lncRNA from 1 species
CCCACGAAAGCAUUCUGAUUCUCUGAGAUCAACUUGUCCAUCACCCUUGCCAUCCGCCUCGCGAGAACUUUUGUCAACACUUUGUAAAUACAGCCAACUAGACUAAUAGGCUUAUAGUCACCAAUGUCUAGAGCUCCGUUCUUUUUUGGAAUGAGGACUAUGAAGGUCGCAUUGAGGCUCUUCUCAAAGUCUCCUUCUGCGUGAAUCUGAUCAAAUGUAGCCAUAAUAUCCUCCUUUAGCACUGACCAACAAUGCUGCAAGAAAGCUAUAAAAAAUCCAUCUAGACUCGGAGCUUUGUCCCCUUUCAAGCUCAGCACCACUUCAGAGACUUCCUCUUCCCCGAAGGGCCGUACCAAUAGAUCCACCUCCUCCGAAUUCAGGGAUGGCAACCCCAACCCGUCUACUCUAGGCCUCCACUAAUCAGAUUCCUUGUACAACUUUUCAUAGAACCCCACUAUGGCACUAGAUAGAGAGCCCUAGUCAUUAUGGAUUUCUCCGUCAACUCUGAUCUUGCCAAUAUAAUUGGAUCUGCAAUGACCAUUCGCCACUCGAUGGAAAAAGCUGUAUUUCUAUCCCCUUCUGUUAACCAUGUGGCACGAGAUUUUUCCCUCCAGGAUGUCUCUUCCGCCAUCAGGAGCCUACCAAUCUCAGCUUGAAGCUCGGCCCUACGAUCCCUCUCGACUUCAGAAAAGCUCCAGAAGCUCGGCCCUACCAAUUUAAUCUCGACCCUACCAAUUUAAUCUCGACCCUACCGAAGACCUCCCUAUUCCACCUCUUCAAAUCCUCCUUCAACAACCCCAGCUUCCUGGCUAAGCGGAAAGAUGGACUCCCAAAAACUACAUAGCUAUCCCACCAUCUCCAGAUAAGAUCCCUGAAACCUGAAACCUGCAGCCACAUAUUCUCGAAUCUGAAUGGGGCAGGCCCCUUAUGCAUACCACCUCCAGCCAAGAACACAGGCUUAUGAUUUGAAACUACCCUAGGCAAAGAAAAUUGUCUAACGUCCAAGUAAUGCCCUUCCCACUCAGAUGAUACUAGAAAUCUAUCUAGCCUGGACGCGGCUGACCCGUUGCUCCAGGUUAAACUAGCCCCUUCCAGCGGAAGAUCAAUCAACUCCUCCUCCUUAAUAUAAUUGGCAAAGUCUCUCAUUGUGCUGUUUGUCGAUUUGCAACCUGCCCUCUCGGAAGGGUGCCUGACCACGUUAAAAUCUCCCCCACAAACCCAAGGGGACCCCCAUGACGCCCGACAAUUCUUCCCACAUCUUGGGCCUAACACAUCUGUUAUUAGGACCAUAUACUCCAGCGAAUGCCCACGUGAAACCAUCUUCCACAUUUUUGAGUUGACAAGAAAUGGUGUAGGUCCCCCUCUAGAACAUCUAUACAAGACACAAGUCGAGAAUCCCACAUUAUUAGAAUACCCCCAGAUGCGCCAUAAGCCCUCAAACACACCCAUUCCACCCAUCGACACCCCACAAACUGCUUACGAUUGACCUGUCUACCUCCUUAAGCUUUAUCUCUUGUAGGCGUACAACAUUACAUUUCCAUCUUUUUAAGAGCCCCUUUACCACUUUCCUUUUGUCCCUAUCAUUAAACCCUCUCACAUUCCAUGUCAAGAUUUUAAUCUUCAUUUGAAACAGAAUCGGUUUGAGCACAUAUCAUUAUGUCUUCCUUAUACCCUCUAGACCAACUUCUGUCCCUGCCUAUCCUCCUCCCCCCAUCAAAAACCGACCAUUCCAGAUUCUUGAGCUCUCUCUUGCCUUUACUCCUGCCUGUAUCACUACUACUCCUUCCUCUAGAACGAGCUCGGACAUUCCACUGCUCUUCGAUCCUGGCAAAUAAUCGGGCCGCCUCAUCUUCCAGUCCUCCAUAAGAUAUUCCUAGGAACUUUCCAAAACCCCCUUUUAGUUUCCUCUUGCCCAUGUUGACCUAACCAAGUACGCACCCCUAUCCGAUAGCCAAUCUCCCCCUUCCCCAUGCGUUAAUUCCUCGUACCUUGGCUCAACCCAUGUGAUAGGCUCAAUCGGAUAACUCUCCACAGCCACCAUAUCUAAAUCGACCCCCUCCUGGUUGUCAUCCACAGACUGCAUUCUUGACGGCGAUAUAUGAGCCUGAUCAAACUGUUCGCCCAAGUCAUGCUCUUUUAUCGACUCUUGAAGGGCGCCUUCGACCUGAACGUUUCUCCACAUCUCUCAAGAAGGCCCUCCAUCCCUUUCUGGAUUUGAGGCUUAUGCCUCGCUGCAAGAUGCUCCCCACCCGAAACCAGCUAGGGCAUGCUUCGCAGUGGUAAUCUCAUUUGUGCGGUUAGAAGCGAUACCACUCCUGGAUGUCAAGGUCUCUAACAGGACCUCCAUAGAGGACUGUAUCAGUUCGUUGUUAGGCCCAUGAUCCAGUUCGUUAUUGGGCCCAUGUACCUGGACUUUAUUCGAGGCCCAAGACCGCAACCCACAAGACCGCAACCCACUGGGCUCGCCGCUCCUCUCCAACCCACCUACAUCUCCUUUGUA